rnacentral:rRNA from 1 species
AUUGAACGCUGGCGGCAGGCCUAACACAUGCAAGUCGAGCGAGCGGCGGACGGGUGAGUAAUGUAUGGGGACUGCCCGAUAGAGGGGGAUAACUACUGGAAACGGUGGCUAAUACCGCAUACAGUCGGAUAACCCAUAUGGGAUUAGCUAGUAGGUAAGGUAAUGGCUUACCUAGGCGACGAUACCUAGCUGGUCUGAGAGGAUGAUCAGCCACCCUGGGACUGAGAAACGGCCCAGACUCCUACGGAGGCAUAGGUGGAGAAUAUUGCACAAUGGGCGCAAUCCUGAUGCAGCCAUGCCGCGUGUAUGAAGAAGGCCCUAGGGUUGUAAAGUACUUUCAGUCGGGAGGCGUUACCGACAGAAGAAGCACCGGCUAACUCCGUGCCAGCAGCCGCGGUAAUAC